rnacentral:rRNA from 1 species
UACGUAGGGUGCAAGCGUUAUUCGGAAUUACUGGGCGUAAAGCGUGCGCAGGCGGUGCUGUAAGUCAGUUGUGAAAUCCCCGGGCUCAACCUGGGAACUGCAUCUGUGACUGCAUUGCUGGAGUGCGGCAGAGGGGGAUGGAAUUCCGCGUGUAGCAGUGAAAUGCGUAGAUAUGCGGAGGAACACCGAUGGCGAAGGCACUCCCCUGGGCCGGCACUGACGCUCAGGCACGAAAGCGUGGGGAGCAAACAGG